UACGAAGGGGGCUAGCGUUGCUCGGAAUCACUGGGCGUAAAGCGUGCGUAGGCGGUUUGUUAAGUCCGCUGUGAAAGCCCUGGGCUCAACCUGGGAAUUGCAGUGGAUACUGGCAAGCUAGAGUGCGGUAGAGGAUGGUGGAAUUCCCGGUGUAGCGGUGAAAUGCGCAGAUAUCAGGAGGAACACCGGUGGCGAAGGCGGGUCUCUGGGCAACAACGUGACGCUGAGGAGCGAAAGCGUGGGGAGCGAACAGGA
rnacentral:rRNA from 1 species